GUAAACACGUAUAAGCUGCCCCUGAGAAGCCCCUGCGUCCGCGUUACGGAGGGGUUACGGCCGUGUCCGCUGGGUCAGUCAGGGCGGAAUGCCGCGCGUCUGCUGCUGUGGCUGCCGGGCCGGGCCGCAGAGGAUAAGCAUGUCCGGGUUUUCUUCCAGCUUCCCCUCUCGUGCCUUGCCUGCCUUGGGUUCAGCGGAACAGUGAGACACCGCAAGACAUUUUCCAAACUCCGUUUCUUAUAGAAGCCAGGACAAGCAGACCUUUGCCUGUGUGGUCUCAGGGAAGCGCCAGAUCCCAUGUGCUGGUGGAGGGAAGCCUGUCACUCAUCAAGGACACACGAGAGCUGCCCUGCCUUCUGAAAACUUUGAAACAAGUUUGGCUAAAGAAAUAUGUGAAGUAAACCAGCCCCAGAUGGUGUGAAUUAACAAUAGAUUUGGAAAGACAUGGAAGAAGCAAGCACUCUACCCACGCUGUCCUCCAACCCCUUGAGAUCAGAAUCGGAGUUUUUAGAAAGAGGCAGAAAUGACGGAGGGCGAGCAGGAGAUAACUGAAGCCCAUGGCCUCUGGGGGAUAUUCAUGUGUAUAGGACACACAUUUUAAAGGAGCUGCUGGUACAGUGAGAAUGUGUUAAUACACCAUGAGCAGACAGAAGAUACUUCUAUCUGUCCCAGUAGCAACAUGAUAAUGUGAAAUUCUAAGUGGUGGUGUCUGCAAAGGAGACUGAAAAGUGCAGAUUAUGCAUCUUAUACACUCAUGUGAAAAGCUUCUCUGGGAGCAUGAGAUUUCUAGUAUUUUAAAGAAGCAGCAGCAUCUGUCUUUAGCAGGUUGGUUGGUGAGAGGUAAUGAGAUGUUUGCAAAUAAAAUUCAAGUUAAUAUGUUAGA